rnacentral:rRNA from 1 species
GAUGAACGCUGGCGGCGUGCCUAAUACAUGCAAGUCGAGCGAACGGACGAGAAGCUUGCUUCUCUGAUGUUAGCGGCGGACGGGUGAGUAACACGUGGAUAACCUACCUAUAAGACUGGGAUAACUUCGGGAAACCGGAGCUAAUACCGGAUAAUAUUUUGAACCGCAUGGUUCAAAAGUGAAAGACGGUCUUGCUGUCACUUAUAGAUGGAUCCGCGCUGCAUUAGCUAGUUGGUAAGGUAACGGCUUACCAAGGCAACGAUGCAUAGCCGACCUGAGAGGGUGAUCGGCCACACUGGAACUGAGACACGGUCCAGACUCCUACGGGAGGCAGCAGUAGGGAAUCUUCCGCAAUGGGCGAAAGCCUGACGGAGCAACGCCGCGUGAGUGAUGAAGGUCUUCGGAUCGUAAAACUCUGUUAUUAGGGAAGAACAUAUGUGUAAGUAACUGUGCACAUCUUGACGGUACCUAAUCAGAAAGCCACGGCUAACUACGUGCCAGCAGCCGCGGUAAUACGUAGGUGGCAAGCGUUAUCCGGAAUUAUUGGGCGUAAAGCGCGCGUAGGCGGUUUUUUAAGUCUGAUGUGAAAGCCCACGGCUCAACCGUGGAGGGUCAUUGGAAACUGGAAAACUUGAGUGCAGAAGAGGAAAGUGGAAUUCCAUGUGUAGCGGUGAAAUGCGCAGAGAUAUGGAGGAACACCAGUGGCGAAGGCGACUUUCUGGUCUGUAACUGACGCUGAUGUGCGAAAGCGUGGGGAUCAAACAGGAUUAGAUACCCUGGUAGUCCACGCCGUAAACGAUGAGUGCUAAGUGCUAGGGGGUUUCCGCCCCUUAGUGCUGCAGCUAACGCAUUAAGCACUCCGCCUGGGGAGUACGACCGCAAGGUUGAAACUCAAAGGAAUUGACGGGGACCCGCACAAGCGGUGGAGCAUGUGGUUUAAUUCGAAGCAACGCGAAGAACCUUACCAAAUCUUGACAUCCUUUGACAACUCUAGAGAUAGAGCCUUCCCCUUCGGGGGACAAAGUGACAGGUGGUGCAUGGUUGUCGUCAGCUCGUGUCGUGAGAUGUUGGGUUAAGUCCCGCAACGAGCGCAACCCUUAAGCUUAGUUGCCAUCAUUAAGUUGGGCACUCUAAGUUGACUGCCGGUGACAAACCGGAGGAAGGUGGGGAUGACGUCAAAUCAUCAUGCCCCUUAUGAUUUGGGCUACACACGUGCUACAAUGGACAAUACAAAGGGCAGCGAAACCGCGAGGUCAAGCAAAUCCCAUAAAGUUGUUCUCAGUUCGGACUGUAGUCUGCAACUCGACUACAUGAAGCUGGAAUCGCUAGUAAUCGUAGAUCAGCAUGCUACGGUGAAUACGUUCCCGGGUCU